rnacentral:rRNA from 1 species
AGCUUGCUCCCAAAGAUUAGCGGCGGACGGGUGAGUAACACGUGGGCAACCUGCCUGUAAGACUGGGAUAACUCCGGGAAACCGGGGCUAAUACCGGAUAACUCUUGUCCCCUCAUGGGGACAAGCUGAAAGACGGUUUCGGCUGUCACUUACAGAUGGGCCCGCGGCGCAUUAGCUAGUUGGUGAGGUAACGGCUCACCAAGGCAACGAUGCGUAGCCGACCUGAGAGGGUGAUCGGCCACACUGGGACUGAGACACGGCCCAGACUCCUACGGGAGGCGGCAGUAGGGAAUCUUCCGCAAUGGACGAAAGUCUGACGGAGCAACGCCGCGUGAGCGAUGAAGGCCUUCGGGUCGUAAAGCUCUGUUGUUAGGGAAGAACAAGUAUCGGAGUAACUGCCGGUACCUUGACGGUACCUAACCAGAAAGCCACGGCUAACUACGUGCCAGCAGCCGCGGUAAUACGUAGGCGGCAAGCGUUGUCCGGAAUUAUUGGGCGUAAAGCGCGCGCAGGUGGUUCCUUAAGUCUGAUGUGAAAGCCCACGGCUCAACCGUGGAGGGUCAUUGGAAACUGGGGAACUUGAGUGCAGAAGAGGAAAGUGGAAUUCCACGUGUAGCGGUGAAAUGCGUAGAGAUGUGGAGGAACACCAGUGGCGAAGGCGACUUUCUGGUCUGUAACUGACACUGAGGCGCGAAAGCGUGGGGAGCGAACAGGAUUAGAUACCCU